AACGUAGGUUCCGAGCGUUAUCCGGAUUUACUGGGCGUAAAGCGCGUUCAGGCGGUUUGGCAAGUCGGGCAUGAAAUCUCUCGGCUCAACCGGGAGAGGUUGUCCGAUACUGUUAGACUUGAGGGCAGUAGAGGGUGGUGGAAUUCCUGGUGUAGCGGUGGAAUGCGCAGAUAUCAGGAGGAACACCAAUAGCGAAGGCAGCUCGCUGGGACGGUACUGACGCUAAGGCGCGAAAGCGUGGGGAGCGAACAGG
rnacentral:rRNA from 1 species